UCCUGUCCCAACGCCCUGUGAUGCAUUGGUUCACAUCCCAGCAAUCCCUGUGCUUCCAUUCACAUUUGGCGCCAUCUUUAAAUGUUUUUUGUACUGCACGCUCUGUCUUCCCUUUCAGUCUGUGGGAACGGAGCCUGAACUGCUGGGGAAUGGCAAUUGGAAUGCUGAAGUUGCCAAAACUUAAGUGCUAUUUAACAAUUUUC